rnacentral:rRNA from 1 species
GUGAGGGAAAGGUGAAAAGAACUGAGGUGAUCAGAGUGAAAUAGAACCUGAAACCAUUUGCUUACAAUCAUUCAGAGCCCUAUGUAGCAAUACAGGGUGAUGGACUGCCUUUUGCAUAAUGAGCCUGCGAGUUGUGGUGUCUGGCAAGGUUAAGCAAACGCGAAGCCGUAGCGAAAGCGAGUCUGAAUAGGGCGCUUAGUCAGAUGCUGCAGACCCGAAACGAAGUGAUCUAUCCAUGAGCAAGUUGAAGCUAGUGUAAGAACUAGUGGAGGACUGAACCCAUAGGCGUUGAAAAGCCCCGGGAUGACUUGUGGAUAGGGGUGAAAGGCCAAUCAAACUUCGUGAUAGCUGGUUCUCUCCGAAAUAUAUUUAGGUAUAGCGUUGUGUCGUAAUAUAAGGGGGUAGAGCACUGAAUGGGCUAGGGCAUACACCAAUGUACCAAACCCUAUCAAACUCCGAAUACCUUAUAUGUAAUCACAGCAGUCAGGCGGCGAGUGAUAAAAUCCGUCGUCAAGAGGGAAACAACCCAGACUACCAGCUAAGGUCCCUAAAUCUUACUUAAGUGGAAAACGAUGUGAAGUUACUUAAACAACCAGGAGGUUGGCUUAGAAGCAGCCAUCCUUUAAAGAAAGCGUAAUAGCUCACUGGUCUAGUGAUUUUGCGCGGAAAAUAUAACGGGGCUAAAGU